CACAUUACGGUGCUCUAAGUAUAUUUAAUUUUUUAGAAUUCCAGUAGCUGCUGUAGGUAUUUGCCUGAUCUGUGUAUUUUUCUCUCCCUUUUUGGACAGGAGUGUAGCAAUCCAGGCGGGUCCUCGGCUGACCUAGAGGUGGUGGAGCCUUCUCACUUUUUCCUUUGCUGUGUCCACAAUGGUGGGAGCGCUUCGGGACAAUGUUCAGCCCUAGCUGUGAGGAAAGUCAAGUCACAUUACGGAGUGUAGCAAUCCAGGCGGGUCCUCGGCUGACCUAGAGGUGGUGGAGCCUUCUCACUUUUUCCUUUGCUGUGUCCACAACGGGUGAUUUUUGUUUUGUUCUACAGUUGUGUGUUGUGAUUUUGUUUGUUGUGUUUCUUUUCUGGGCCUCUGCCCUUUUCUCUUGUCUGUCAGCCUGGCAUGCUUGGUAAGCCCUAGCUCUGUCCUAGUUCCAUUUAUUAAAGUAAGCAGUAGGUACUAUGGCUAAAUGGCUAUGUAUGUGCAGUGUCCUGGGUUAUCUGGAGUUUGUUUAAGUGAGGUGUGAUUGGUUG